GUUAGGAAUAUUGGACAAUGGGCGCAAGCCUGAUCCAGCCAUGCCGCGUGAGUGAUGAAGGCCUUCGGGUUGUAAAGCUCUUUAGCCGAUAAUUAUAAUGACUGUAGUCGGAAAAUAAGCCCCGGCUAACUUCGUGCCAGCAGCCGCGGUAAUACGAAGGGGGCGAGCGUUAUUCGGAAUCACUGGGCGUAAAGCGUGCGUAGGCGGCUUUGCAAGUUGGGAGUGAAAGCCCAGGGCUCAACCCUGGAAUUGCUCUCAAAACUGCAAGGCUCGAAUUCGGGAGAGGAUAGCGGAAUUGUCAGUGUAGCAGUGAAAUGCGUAGAUAUUGACAGGAACACCAGUGGCGUAAGCGGCUAUCUGGACCGAUAUUGACGCUGAGGCACGAAAGCGUGGGGAUCAAACAGGAUUAGAAACCCCAGUAGUCC
rnacentral:rRNA from 1 species